rnacentral:lncRNA from 1 species
UGAGGAAAGGCCCAGGGAGUGGACAGAGGGCUGGAACAUCUUUUCAGUGGAUGCUCAGUCCUUAAAUCCUUGAAUACUGCAGAGAAUGCGCUUCUGGUGCCCUGGCAAUGUGAUUCCCAUCUGCGUCAGGUCCCUGUGGAAGAGAGAAGGAGGCUGUGAGUCUAGAAGCUCAACCUCAGCCACCCUCCCAUGCCCAUGUUGGUGCUGCCUGGCCCCAGCGUUCUCACUCGGCUGUCAGCUCCAGCACACACUCCAUGGUGUCCAGGCCUGCCGAGCGGAAGUGCAGGAUGUAGCGCUUCAUGCGUAUGGAUUCAAGCCACUCAGAGACACUUCGAUAAGGGAUCCCAUCAGAGCCACUCAGGCUGGGCAGACGUAGGGUCACCCUAUGGGAAACAACAUCAUGUUUGUACCCCUGAAGUUCAGGAGCUGGCUGGCCUGGGCCACCACAUGGCAGCCAGCAUUGAGUCAGAUGCUUGUGUUAGCUCAUCUAGGCUCUGCACAUAAACUGGCUGCUACUUGAGCUU